UACAGAGGGUGCAAGCGUUAAUCGGAAUUACUGGGCGUAAAGCGUGCGUAGGCGGUAGCGUAAGUCGGGUGUGAAAGCCCCGGGCUCAACCUGGGAACUGCAUUUGAGACUGCUCUGCUCGGGUGCGGAAGAGGGAAGCGGAAUUUCCGGUGUAGCGGUGAAAUGCGUAGAUAUCGGAAGGAACACCAGUGGCGAAAGCGGCUUCCUGGUCCGACACCGACGUUCAGGCACGAAAGCGUGGGGAGCAAACAGG
rnacentral:rRNA from 1 species